UCUGCUUAACACAUGCAAGUCGAACGCAACCUUCGGGUUGAGUGGCGGACGGGUGAGUAACGCGUGAGAAUCUGCCUUGGGGUCGGGGACAACCACUGGAAACGGUGGCUAAUACCGGAUAAGCCUUUGGGUAAAAGAUUUAUUGCCCCAAGAGGAGCUCGCGUCUGAUUAGCUAGUUGGUGAGGUAAAAGCUCACCAAGGCAGCGAUCAGUAGCUGGUCUGAGAGGACGAUCAGCCACACUGGGACUGAGACACGGCCCAGACUCCUACGGGAGGCAGCAGUGGGGAAUUUUCCGCAAUGGGCGAAAGCCUGACGGAGCAAGACCGCGUGAGGGAGGAAGGCUCUUGGGUUGUAAACCUCUUUUCUCAGGGAAGAAGCUCUGACGGUACCUGAGGAAUCAGCCUCGGCUAACUCCGUGCCAGCAGCCGCGGUAAUACGGAGGAGGCAAGCGUUAUCCGGAAUUAUUGGGCGUAAAGCGUCCGCAGGUGGCGAUUCAAGUCUGCUGUCAAAGCACGGGGCUUAACUCCGUUAAAGGGCGUGGAAACUGAAUAGCUAGAGUGCCGUAGGGGUAGAGGGAAUUCCCGGUGUAGCGGUGACAUGCGUAGAGAUCGGGAAGAACAUCGGUGGCGAAAGCGCUCUACUGGACGGCAACUGACACUCAGGGACGANAGCUAGGGGAGCGAAUGGGAUUAGAUACCCCAGUAGUCCUAGCUGUAAACGAUGGAUA
rnacentral:rRNA from 1 species